rnacentral:rRNA from 1 species
GACGAACGCUGGCGGCGUGCUUAACACAUGCAAGUCGAACGGAAAGGCCCUGCUUUUGUGGGGUGCUCGAGUGGCGAACGGGUGAGUAACACGUGAGUAACCUGCCCUUGACUUUGGUAUAACUUCAGGAAACUGGGGCUAAUACCGGAUAGGAGCUCCUGCUGCAUGGUGGGGGUUGGAAAGUUUCGGCGGUUGGGGAUGGACUCGCGGCUUAUCAGCUUGUUGGUGGGGUAGUGGCUUACCAAGGCUUUGACGGGUAGCCGGCCUGAGAGGGUGACCGGGCACAUGGGGACUGAGAUACGGCCCAGACUCCUACGGGAGGCAGCAGUGGGGAAUAUUGCACAAUGGGCGGAAGCCUGAUGCAGAAACGCCGCGUGUGGGAUGACGGCCUUCGGGUUGUAAACCGCUUUCGCCUGUGACGAAGCGUGAGUGACGGUAAUGGGUAAAGAAGCACCGGCUAACUACGUG